ACCGUGCAAAGGUAGCAUAAUCAUUAGUUUUUUAAUUGAAAGCUGGUAUGAAUGGUUGGACGAGAAAGUAACUGUCUCAAUUUAAUUGAAUUAGAAUUUUAUUUUUAAGUUAAAAAGCUUAAAUAAUUUUAAAAGACGAGAAGACCCUAUAGAGUUUUAUAUAUAGAUAUAUAUACAAGUAUUGGCAUAUAUGUUAAGUAUAUAAAUAUGUAUUUUGUUGGGGUGACAAAAAAAUUGAUUAAACUUUUUUUAUAUUGAAUCAUUAAUUUAUGAUUAAGUGAUCCGUUAUUUACGAUUAUAAGAUUAAAUUACCUUAGGGAUAACAGCGUAAUUCUUUUUAAGAGUUCUUAUCGAAAGGAGAGUUU
rnacentral:rRNA from 1 species